GAGUUUGAUCAUGGCUCAGAUUGAACGCUGGCGGCAUGCCUUACACAUGCAAGUCGAACGGUAACGCGGGGCAACCUGGCGACGAGUGGCGAACGGGUGAGUAAUGCAUCGGAACGUGCCCAGUAGUGGGGGAUAGCCCGGCGAAAGCCGGAUUAAUACCGCAUACGACCUACGGGUGAAAGGGGGGGAUCGCAAGACCUCUCGCUAUUGGAGCGGCCGAUGUCAGAUUAGGUAGUUGGUGGGGUAAAGGCCUACCAAGCCGACGAUCUGUAGCUGGUCUGAGAGGACGACCAGCCACACUGGGACUGAGACACGGCCCAGACUCCUACGGGAGGCAGCAGUGGGGAAUUUUGGACAAUGGGCGAAAGCCUGAUCCAGCCAUGCCGCGUGCGGGAAGAAGGCCUUCGGUUGUAACCG
rnacentral:rRNA from 1 species